UGCUACAUGUCAUACCGCAUAUACUACAUAUGCUAAGGAGUGCUACGUACGUACGGAGUAGUAUACUGUACGUACUAUGUACGUAGUAGUAGUAACAAAUCUCGGAACAGAUUCCGCGCUUUGCCGACAAUAAAAAAAAAAUCGCCGCUAUAAGCCCCUUGUCCCAACAAACGGAAUCGGAAGAAUUAACUUUUCGAAUGGGUCAUUUUUUCUUCAAGGUUUUUUUUUUUUUUUUUUUUUUUUUCUUCCCUUUUGUGCCCUGUUUGCUACAACCAUGGUUGAGGAUAUGAGAGGCGAAUUUGUAAAAGUCUGGAAACAUCGCAUCCUUGGCCUAGGGAAAAGUUUUUGUUCCCAGAACCAUGGAUUUGAUUGACUCCUGUACGGAGGACUCAGUACUAUGUCGUCUGUAUUUUUCUUUUUUCUUGUUUCUUGUCCUGGAAGACGCAGUAUGUACUAUGUAGUAUGAAUGCAAUGCAAUGCAACUUGCCUCGGCUCAAAUGGAUCCAUCUAAGAAUAUUCGAGUGCGUAAUCGGUGCGCACUGUAACUAACUAACUAACUAGUAACUUAGUGGCAAGCUGCAAGAUUGAUAAUCAAAAUCAAUAAUUGUCCAGAGUAGCCAGGGGAGGACUUGGUAUCAAUGCAACUCGGCAACUUUGCCGGUGGUUACCAUUACAAAGUACUCCGUAUAGUCUCCGUAAUACGUAUUCAGAGUACAUACUUACAGCUAAACCAACUGCCGACGAGAAACGAAGCCUUUUAUAUUAAAAAAUUUCGGCAUUCAAUCCUCGUGCCGAGUCUUGUAUUUAGGUAGCACUAUUUACACCAAUCUACAUCCUGAACUCCUAGGUAGAGUUAACUUCACCACGUUGCAAACAAAGCACAGUCAUGUAAGAAUUGGCGGAGCUUAUUCUCCUUUCAGUUGUGCUUCCAAAGAGGAAACCGAGGGGUUGGCGUUUUCGGCCUUUGACUCUUUGUGUGUUAAAUUCAAAAUUGUCCAGUAAAUUCUCGGAUGCAAGAAACUAUGCCUUUCAUUCGUUGCUUGUGUAAAUGAUAAGCUUCUAUCUGCCUCGUCACACUUAUCGGAUUCUUUGUUAAUAAUGCUCGAGUACGGAGACUUGACUCGACUCGACGUGUAAUGUGUGUACGUAUUAUGGCAUACAGAUUGGCGGGUCCUGGAUCGCCAAGCACCAUCUCGCACUAACCCGAAAGGAGUAUCUGUAUGCGUCCACCUCAUUCCAUCUUGCCCAAUCAGGCCUAUAACCCGGGUUGUCGUUGUACGUGGAUAGAUAGAUAAUCACUGCUAUCUCUGCAUCGACAAUUGACAGGUCAUAUUUUCUAUAUUUGGUAGAUAUGUAGUAUCUUACGUAGUAGUACGUAGAUAGCUACUUACUGCAUGCUUCGAUAAAUAUUUCGUGAGGUGAAUUGUGGUGGGUAGUGGAUAUGCGGAAGGUCCACAAUAGAAGCGGGAGAAGCCUCCAAAGAAGCUUGAAGCUUUGCGACUUUACUCCGUAGUGACUUAGUCGCUGUUCCCUCCCUGAAGGAAGCCCCCCCAGUGCGGUGCGGGACGAUGGGGUCUUUUGACAGCUGAAGAUUAUUACAGAUUAUGUCUACGACGUACAUACUACAGGAGUACGUACUACUUACUGUAUGUAUCUUGAUGCUUGAAGGAGAGGGCAAUUGCAUGUUCAUGAUAUGUACAAUGAGAAUGGAAGAUAAAACCAUCGGAAUGGCCGACAAUCUACGGAGUACUCUCCUACAUUUAGUUAUUUCAUCCAUCUCGAUCGUACAUGCCGAAUACCUGCGGCUGUGGCUGUAGGCCGAAGGUGCGUGUGGGAGACAAGGGGGAAAAAAUGGCUCAAUCACAUGACGCCUCCUCCGCCCGCCCGGAUCCGUUCUCCCCUUUUGUUGUUCCUUUUCGGUACUCCGUUCAUAGGUCAUAGUUCAAAAUAUCCUGGUCAUAGUCUCACUUAGUUCAGAUUUUAUGAUUAUCACAUCAUACUACGUACGUAGUUGAACUAGUUAACAAUCCUGCCCUUUUGGUCUUUGAGUGCAUUAGUGUGUCUGGGUAGUAAUCGUGCCAUCAUGUCUCGACCGAUGCGGACGGACGUGUAUAUUACUAUCUUUGCUGUCUACUUUGAUUGAGUAAUCUCAAUAGCUUCAAUUGUAUAACUACGUACUAUGUAUGUAGUAAAGCACGAACCUGCUUGCUUGCUUGUGUUGGCGCAUGGAGCAGAUCUUAUCAUUCUGCACAAAGUGGGACGAACGGUCCAGGAACCCGGUCGGGUGGCCUAAGGAAUCCACUUUGUCAAGGGACGAGAUGGAGCUCUUGGGGGAGAAUUUAAGCAUACUUUUGGUGUAGUUCAAACCAUAUGAUCUUACUUCUUGCAGAUGCUAGAUGGCCGGCCCACAUAGCCGUUGAUAUCAGAAUCAAAAUCUUUUAUACUCCGUAGGAUAAAAAAUAAUAAAAACCACUACGUACAAUGCAUUUCAGAAACGAACCCUUUCGACGCAACAUCAAUACGCGUUCCGGAAACGGACAUCGAAAAGACAGAUGACUAAGUUAGACAAGGAGGACUCCGGCUUUGAUACGAUCAUUGAUGGGUGUCUCCGAGGCAGGCGUAUUAUUAGUAUUGCCUACCUAGGCAGUUAGGUAGAUAGGACUACUCGAAAAUCAGUCAAACAGUUACAUUUACUUGGAUGCCUCUGAUUUGUCGGGCCGAGCCCACCACUCUCUGACAUGGACAGUCCUAUAACAAGCCCACGAACUCAAUAAAUGUUAGUUAACUAUGUACUGGUAGUACCUAGUCACAAGUAGUAUACCGCCUCACUGUGUACAGAAAGUAGCAGUCAGGUAUUUGUGCGUGCAGUUGUCGGCCUGAUAUCUCUUGUCGGUACUUUCUUUGUUCCUGUUACUAUUAUUACUUUCAAGGUUGCUGCUACCUAUUAUUCGCUGCUUGUACGGCGUUACCUAGGUAUGUAUGUACGUACGAGUAAAUUGUGUGUGUAUGUAUCCUGGUUGUAUGUCGGGCGGCAUGUUCCGAUUGGAAGAUUGUAACUUCCUUUUUCGAUUGUUGGCGUUCUUCCCUGUAUUUUUUGCAAGGAACCAUGAAACUCGACAGAUGAGCAGCAAAUGGCAAUAUGCCCGUCAACUCAUGUGUGUAUAAUUACGUAUUCUGAAACGGGCGACCAAGCCUGACCGUUUAGAUUUCCCUGUUUUUGGACAGCACUCGCUGUGGCUCAUAUGCACGCACUAUGCCAUAAGGCGCACGACCCCUCCUUACUCUUCCGGGAAGGGGGCCCCCUUUUUUUGCGUCAUCGAACCAAUAAGCAACGCUAGAAUUGAAACGGCGUUUA
rnacentral:lncRNA from 1 species